GAUGAAGAACGCAGCGAAAUGCGAUAAGUAAUGUGAAUUGCAGAAUUCAGUGAAUCAUCGAAUCUUUGAACGCACAUUGCGCCCGCCAGCAUUCUGGCGGGCAUGCCUGUUCGAGCGUCAUUUCAACCCUCGAGCCCCCCCGGGGGCCUCGGUGUUGGGGGACGGCACACCAGCCGCCCCCGAAAUGCAGUGGCGACCCCGCCGCAGCCUCCCCUGCGUAGUAGCACACACCUCGCACCGGAGCGCGGAGGCGGUCACGCCGUAAAACAACCCAAUUUUAUUAGAGUUGACCUCGAAUCAGGUAGGAAUACCCGCUGAACUUAAGCAUAUCAAUAAGCGGAGGA
rnacentral:misc_RNA from 1 species